rnacentral:rRNA from 1 species
GGGCCCGCACAAGCGGUGGAGCAUGUGGUUUAAUUCGAUGCAACGCGAAGAACCUUACCAGGGCUUGACAUACUACAAAUUCUUUUGAGAAAGAGAAGUGCCUUCGGGAAUGCAGAUACAGGUGGUGCAUGGCUGUCGUCAGCUCGUGUCGUGAGAUGUUGGGUUAAGUCCCGCAACGAGCGCAACCCUUAUUUUUAGUUACCAACUUGUUGGGUUCUCUAGAAAGACUGCCGGUGACAAACCGGAGGAAGGUGAGGAUGACGUCAAGUCAGCAUGCCCCUUAUGUCCUGGGCUACACACGUGCUACAAUGGUUAAGACAAAGAGUUGCGAGUUCGUGAGAACCAGCUAAUCUCGUAAACUUAGCCUAAGUUCAGAUUGUAGGCUGCAACUCGCCUACAUGAAGUUGGAAUCGCUAGUAAUCG